rnacentral:lncRNA from 1 species
CUUGAAUUCAGGAAGACUUGGGUUCAAAUUUUACCUCAGUUGCUUCUUAGUUGUGUGACCUAGAAGGAAGUCGCUUAACUCUGGCUAGCCAUUACUUCUCUUCUGUCUUAGAAAUGAUACUGAAACAGAAGGUAAGAGUUUUUUCCCCCCCACAAUGGUCAUUAAAUCCAUUCCCCUUACAGCUGCUAAAGUGAUUUUCCUUGAGUAUGGAUUUGACCACAUCACCAGGGGUCCCAAAAGUCUUAGUUCAGCUUUAAACUAAUUAUAUUGUAAGCUGAUGGGGAGUUAUUGGGAAACGACAAGGAUAUUUUAAAAAGGAAAAAAAAAACAAAUAAAACAUUCAAAAUAAAAGGUAAGCUAGAGCUAACCCAUAAAAGGCUUUUAAAGCCAAGCCAAGGAGUUUGGAUUUUAUCAAACUAAUAGUGAGUCAUUUAAGAUUCUAGAGCAAGGGAGCAUAAGAUUUAAAUUAAUGUCCAAUAUUCCAAGAAUUAUAUUUUAUAGAGUUUAUUAAUAAUCACUUAAAGUAGAAGGAAUAAAGAGGAAAUAGAAGUAAAAAAAACUAAUUAUUUAACAAAAUUAAAACCAUGUGAGCAAGUUCUUCUGCCUUUGGAUAGCAAGAGCCGGGGCUACACCAAAUUUACAUCCUCCCUACAUCUGCACAUAAGGCAUGAAGACAUUGAGAGGCAAAAUAUAACUAUUUUUACAUGUGAGAACUUUGUGUUCCUGCCAAAUCUGAAGACUUAA